CAAACAAUGAAACUCUGAGCUGCUUCAACCUAAGUCAGUGAAUGAUAUGGUGCUGCAGCCGUGACAUUAAGUCACCAGGGUGUAAGGUAGAAAUGCCUGCACCUCCCGAAUUGGAAAGGUGUUUUAUGGUAUCGCAA
rnacentral:ncRNA from 1 species